rnacentral:rRNA from 1 species
GACGAACGCUGGCGGCGUGCUUAACACAUGCAAGUCGAACGGAAAGGCCUGCUUUCCCUUGUGGAUUGCGGGUACUCGAGUGGCGAACGGGUGAGUAACACGUGAGUGAUCUGCCCCCAACUUGGGUAUAAGCCUGGGAAACUGGGUCUAAUUCCCGAUAGGACUGCAGGGUGGUGCCUGUGGUGGAAAACGAUUUUCUAGUGGUUGGGGAUGAGCUCGCGGCCUAUCAGCUUGUUGGUGGGCUAAUGGCCUACCAAGGCGGCGACGGGUAGCCGGCCUGAGAGGGUGGACGGGCACAUUGGGACUGAGAUACGGCCCAGACGCCUACGGGAGGCAGCAGUGGGGAAUAUUGCACAAUGGGCGGAAGCCUGAUGCAGCGACGCCGCGUGGGGGAUGACGGCCUUCGGGUGGUAAACUCCUUUCGACCGCGAGGAAGCCACCUGGUUGGAAGGGUGGUGACGGUAGUGGUAGAAGAAGCACCGGCUAACUACGUG